rnacentral:tRNA from 1 species
GCUGGGAUAGCUCAGUUGGUAGAGCAACUGAUUCGUAAUCAGUAGGUCGGAGGUUCGAAUCCUCUUUCCAGCACCA